AUUUAAUUAGUUUAAUAAAAAUAUUGAUUUGUGGAGUCAAAGAUGUAAAAAUUUUUAUAUUAAAUA
rnacentral:tRNA from 1 species